rnacentral:lncRNA from 1 species
UAUAGCAGAUGCCCUCAGCAUUCCCCUUAAUAAUAGCAAUCGCCUCCUCUGGUCGGUAGUAAGCGGCCAACACUCUAUUUUCUACGUGAAGUUGUAAACAAGAAGCAGCCGCUCAUCAUGCGGAAGAUACAUAGUCGCAGUUUCGUA